AUGGACGCUACUGCAGGGAGGCGCAGCCUUCUUAGGAACAUUCUGAUACGAACGAUCUUCUGCUUUGUUGCUCUCAUCGUCAUUGUUGAAUUUGCUUACGUUGUCAGAAUCAAAGGCCGAGAAUGCGGUUCUGGAGGUUUCUGUUUCUCUCCGGAGAAUCCGAAAAUCUCCAGCGUUGUGGUCGGAGCUCACCAGGCCGCUAUCGGGGAAGCAUCUUUCGAUAUGUGGACUAGCAAACAAUGGCGAAAGAGCGUCGAUUACUUCUCUUCUUUGUUUCAAGAUUUGAUCUUCGAGGGGUAUCUCUCGCCGGAUUCGAAGUCGCUGUGCAUCGAAACGUCAACCGGAGAAGAUGUUUUCGCGUUGAGAGAGAUCGGAGUUGUUGAUGCGAUUGGGAUUUCGAAGAAGGCGUUUCCACCAUUGGUUGUCUCUGGUCAGGCCUAUCGCCAGCCUUUCGAUAAUAACACCUUUGAUUUCGAGUUCUCCAGCAACGGCGGUCUUGACCGGUCAGCUCGGCCGGGGAAUUUUGCAGCAGAGAUUGGUAGGACUCUCAAACCUGGUGGCUUCGUUGUUGUUCACACGGUGGCUGCAAAAGAUGCUUAUAGCUUCAAUUCGUUUCUUGAGUUGUUCAAUUGCUGUAGAUUCAUUAGGUCGCGAGACAUAGAUAAUCUUGAUUCAUCAGUGCCUUCGAUUCGCGAGAUUGUUUUAAAGAAAGACAUUGAGAUUCUUGCGCAUGAAGAGUCAUCUCCUGAUAGGAAUUCAUUUAAGAAGUGCUCUGUUCCGGGGCAUAAACAGGAAAUAAUCAAGAAUGCAGAGCCAUUGAUCGAAGAAGAGCCAUUGAAGCCUUGGAUUACAUUGAAGAGGAACAUAAAAAACAUAAAAUAUAUAUCUUCUAUGGUUGAUGUGAGUUUCAAGCAGAGAUAUGUGUAUGUGGAUGUUGGAGCUCGGAGCUAUGGUUCAAGCAUUGGUAGUUGGUUCAAGAAGCAGUACCCGAAACAGAAUAAGACUUUUGAAAUUUAUGCAAUUGAGGCCGACAAGGCUUUCCACGAAGAGUAUAGAUUGAAGAAAGGGGUAACGCUUUUGCCUUAUGCAGCUUGGUUGAGGAAUGAGACUUUGUUCUUUGAGAUUACCAGAGACCCAGGUAGGAAAGUUCAGGAAAGAGGCAGAGGAAUGGGAAGGAUUCAACCUGUGCAAUCCUCGGCCAGUUAUGCUGCUGACGUUGACAAGAUUCAAGGAAUUGAUUUCGCUAAUUGGUUGAAAAGUACGGUUUCGGAAAGAGACUUUGUCGUGAUGAAGAUGGAUGUGGAAGGCACUGAAUUCCAUUUGAUUCCGAGGUUGAUAGAGACAGGAGCAAUUUGUUUAAUUGAUGAGAUUUUCCUUGAAUGCCACUACAACAGAUGGCAAAGAUGCUGCCCUGGUCAGAGGAGUUCCAAGUUUCAGAAGACUUAUGCCCAAUGCUUGGACCUGUUUUCUUCUCUGAGAAAAAGUGGAGUUCUUGUGCAUCAAUGGUGGUGAUGGACAGUUGGGUAAAAGUCAAUCUUCAUGUAACAUUCUUUCAUUUUGUUCCUCCUUUGGUUCAUUUUAAGAGAAUACAAGGGUGUAGACCCACCAAUUUUCUCCUGACAUUUGGGAGGACCCUCAAACUCAGAAGGUUUCUUUGUUGUCCACAGAUUUCAUUAUUUAUUGAUUUAUUUGUUGUACAUUGAUGAGGU